AAAGCCGUGAUUGGUUGAUCCUACAAGUUUGAUGGAAAUGAGCUUUUGGUGAGAAUGAGCAAAGGAUGUACCCUCAAAUCAAUAAACAUAAUUAUACACUCUAAUCUUAUGCUGACUGUAAUUGCAAAUAAUAUUUCACAUUCAAGAAAAUAUCUGGAAAAUGAAUAGUAAGCUGUAGGGGUUAUAGCCUAACAUUAGAAUCUAAAAUAUGUGAAAACUUAAACUCAUUACACCCUGUUCAAAUAAUGAUUCGUGUCUUAUUUGCUCAUAUCAAUAUCCUAGCUGGCAUAUUUUGUACUUUCACUCCCAUAUGGACCCCAUUGAAAACAAGAUGGCCUAUCUCAAGGGGCUGUCCCUAAUGAAGUAGAAAUCACAACAUUACAAGUCCAGUGUGGUCUUAACGAGGAAAAUGGAGAAAAAAAGGACUCGCAAGCCGAACUGGACUGAGGAGCAAGGUUUGUUGCUGGCCCAGUUGGUGAACGAACAUAAAGGUAUCUCUCCUGCCUCUUCUGUUGGCCAUUUUGUGCAGCUGCUUAGGGGAACUCCUAAGCCACUAAAAGUCCUCUUCCCUGCUCUUAGCAGAUCUCGCCUUAGGAGCCCUUUUAAGCGCUAGGAAUCUUGAGGAAUAGCUUUUAUAUUAACUGGGAUUAUCGUGUCACUUUUAGGGGAAAUUCUAAGAAAACGUCAUGACUCUGAGAAUUUUCUUAGAAUUUGGCCGCUAGGAGCCACUUUUUGCACAAAGAUUCUUUAGGGAUACGGGCCCAGUACUUAGUUCUUUCAGAAACUCCAAAUUGGAAAAUGGAACAAAAUCUUCAUAAAUUCACAUUUCUGUUUCAUUCUUUCAUAAGUCAACAAGGAUCGGUUUACUGCUAAAAUGCCCUUGGGAAAUUAGAACCACCUCUCUUUGUAGUUUGUAGUCACAGUCACUUUGACGUCCUUUCUAUGAGGACUGCAGACAUGCUCUGCAUAAAUAGUUUGAACAGCUGAAAGCUACAUACAUACAGUACACGCUGCUACACAAAUACCCACAUAGGAGGAUUCAUUUUGAUACCCGAG
ensembl:lncRNA